UUUGCUUGUAGCUGUGUAGUUGAAUGUAAAGCCAUGCAGCUGGUGGUUGAUUUGCUAAUUAUUUGUAUGCUACCCACCAUGCUGUUGGCACGGCUCAAGGAACCUCGCCACGUUGCUGCUCACGACGGCUUUCACAACAUCAAGCACGAGCCUCGAUGGGCGCAUUGGAACGAACGCGUGAAGGCGCAUCAUCUCCGCAAAGAAAGGCAAAACAGAGAAGGCAGAACCUCUACUUGAGAGAACAUCAUACAUAAUCGGUUUCAUAUUAUUUCUUGAUAACAGUGUUAAUAAAUAGCAUUGUAAUCCAAA